rnacentral:rRNA from 1 species
AUUGAACGCUGGCGGCAGGCCUAACACAUGCAAGUCGAACGGUAACAGGAAGAAGCUUGCUUCUUUGCUGACGAGUGGCGGACGGGUGAGGUAAUGUCUGGGAAACUGCCUGAUGGAGGGGGAUAACUACUGGAAACGGUAGCUAAAUACCGCAUAACGUCGCAAGACCAAAGAGGGGGACCUUCGGGCCUCUUGCCAUCGGAUGUGCCCAGAUGGGAUUAGCUAGUAGGUGGGGUAACGGCUCACCUAGGCGACGAUCCCCUAAGCUGGUCUGAGAGGAUGACCAGCCACACUGGAACUGAGACACGGUCCAGACUCCUACGGGAGGCAGCAGUGGGGAAUA